rnacentral:rRNA from 1 species
GAUGAACGCUAGCUACAGGCUUAACACAUGCAAGUCGAGGGGUAACGAGAGGGAAGCUUGCUUUCCUUGUCGACGACCGGCGCACGGGUGAGUAACGCGUAUCCAACCUGCCCCCAACUAAGGAAUAACCUUGCGAAAGUAAGACUAAUACCCUAUAAUUUCCUCAGAUGACAUCUGACGAGGAAUAAAGAUUUAUCGGUUGUGGAUGGGGAUGCGUCUGAUUAGCUUGUUGUCGAGGUAACGGCCCACCAAGGCAACGAUCAGUAGGGGUUCUGAGAGGAAGGGCACCCAGAUGGGAACUGGGACACGGUCCAAACUCCUACGGGAGGCAGCAAUGAGGAAUAUUGGUAAGUGGGCGGAAGCCUGAACCAGCCAAGUAGCGUGCAGGAUGGCGGCCCUAUGGGUUGUAAACUGCUUUUAUACAGGAAUAAAGUUAGCCACGUGUGGUUAUUUGUAGGUACUGUAUGAAUAAGGACCGGCUAAUUCCGUGCCAGCCGCCGCUGUAA